rfam:Hordeum vulgare subsp. vulgare, WGS project CAJW01000000 data, contig: morex_contig_198247
UUAAUACUCCCUUCAUUUCAAAAUUCUUAUCUUAGCUUUGUCUAGAAAUAGAUGUAUCUAAAUACUAAAACUUGACUAGAUACAUUUAUAUCUAGGCAAAUCUAAAACAAUAAUUUUGGAACGGAGGGAGUACUUA